rnacentral:misc_RNA from 1 species
AAGGGAGCUAGAUGAGUUGGCUUUGGCCCAAGAGAUUGGUUUGACACAGAACUUGAGGGUCAUAAUGGUUGUAGAGGGGGACUCCAACAAAAAACAUUUCCAUAGGGUAGUAACUGCUAAUAGGAGAAGGACUUUUAUAUAGUCGGAAAAGGUAAAUGGGUGAUGCAUGUGGAAAAGGAGGAAGUAGAAAAGGCAAUUGUAGAUUUUUACAAGCGUUUGUUAGAGGUAGCAGAUUGGGGGCCUAAAUUGG